CAUGCAUUCUUAAUUUUAGAUAAUAAACUAAUACAAACAAACAAUAGUACAAACAGUUUGUGUUGUAGCACAAUGAUAGUAGAAGCAUUUGAUGUUAAGAUUAGAUUAAGUAAUGUACAAACAUGUAAGUGUACAGUAUGUGAGUAGGCCAUAUUAUAUUUUAAGUACACUGUAAGUACGUCUGUGUACACGGUAACUGCGUCUGUAAGUGCGUCUGUAAUCAAGUAUACACUGUAAGUACGUCUGUAAGUGCGUCUGUAAGCACGUCUCUAAGUGCGUCUAAGUACACUGUAAGUACGUCUGUGUACACGGUAACUGCGUCUGUAAGUGCGUCUGUAAUCAAGUAUACACUGUAAGAAAGUCUGUAAGUACGUCUGUAAGUGCGUCUGUAAGUACACUGUAAGUACGUCUGUGUACACGGUAACUGCGUCUGUAAGUACACUGUAAGAAAGUCUGUAAGCGCGUCUGUAAGUGCGUCUGUAAGUGCGUCUGUAAGUGAGUCUGUAAGUACACGGUAACUGCGUCUGUAAGUACACUGUAAGAAAGUCUGUAAGCACGUCUGUAAGUACACGGUAACUGCGUCUGUAAGUGCGUCUGUAAUCAAGUAUACACUGUAAGAAAGUCUGUAAGUGCGUCUGUAAGUACACUGUAACUGCGUCUGUAAGUGCGUCUGUAAUCAAGUAUACACUGUAAGUGCGUCUGUAAGUGCGUCUGUAAGUACGUCUGUAAGUGCGUCUGUAAGUACACUGUAAGUACUGUAAGUGCGUCUGUAAGUACGUCUGUAAGUGCGUCUGUAAGUACACUGUAAGUACUGUAAGUGCGUCUGUAAGUACGUCGGUAAGUGCGUCUGUAAGUACACUGUAAGUACGUCUGUAAGUACACUGUAAGUACACUGUAAGCACGUCUGUAAGCGCGUCUGAAAGUGCGUCUGUAAGUGCGUCUGUAAGUACACUGUAUACACGUCUGUAAGUACACUGUAAGUGCAUCUGUAAGUACACUGUAAGUGCGUCUGUAAGUGCGUCUGUAAGUGUGUCUGUAAGCGCGGCUGUAAGUACACUGUAAGUACACUGUAAGCACGUCUGUAAGUACGUCUGUAAGUGCGUCUGUAAGUACACUGUAAGUGCAUCUGUAAGUACACUGUAAGUGCGUCUGUAAGUGUGUCUGUAAGCGCGUCUG
rnacentral:lncRNA from 1 species